GCUUUAAAGACUCCAACCUUCUCCUGCACAAAAUAAUGGAGAAGCCUAGUUAUUUCAAUAGAGGAAAGUAGAUUACUGUAGAAUACGACAGUUUUUACUGCUUAGAUGUUGUUCUCCAACACUUAAAGAAAAAAGGUCAAAUAGCUACUAGUUCAUUAAAAACUAUCAGCUAACUGUUUAGCUGUUGAACGUUAAUUCCUCUGACUUUAUGUUUAUUGAUGCAGCUUAAAAAAGAAAAUAAUAUAACUUAUUCUUUUACCUAUUAAUUUCAAGAUAUAUAUCAAAAUGAAGGUGGAGUCCAUGCUAUAUAAUUGAACACCUCCAUGCUAAUUUAAGGUCAAAGACAAAAAAAGUUGAAUUUUCGAUAGAAACUGAUUCAUUCUUUCUGUAUAAACAUUAAUGCCUGUUCCAUGAAUCACAAGGAUGUGUAUCAAAA
rnacentral:misc_RNA from 1 species